GUUGCAGUAGUCAAGGCCAGAAAGAAAAAUGUAAUUGACCAGCACCGUAGCUGCGUCUGGUGUUAAAUAAGGGCGGAUGCAAGCUAUGUUUUUGAGAUGGAAGCAGCAGGUUGGCGAUCAACUGGACAUAAGGGGUGAAGGAAAGGUCAGAGUCAAAGAGAACACCUAGGCAGCAAGCCUGUGAGGUAGAGGUAAUGGUGGCAUUGUUUACUUGGAGGGAGACAGACACGGGAGUAGCAACACUUGAGGGCGGGAAGACCAGAAGUUGUGUUUUGGAUAGGUUGAGUUUAAGGAAGUGAGCAGCCAUCCAAUUGGAAAUCAGGGAGAGGCAGUCUGAGACACGAGUCAAGAUAGGUGGAGAGAGAUCAGGAGAGGACAGGUAGAGUUGUGUGUCAUCUGCAUAUAAAUGAUAAUGGAAGCCAAAGGAGCUGAUGAGUUUUCUAAAGAAGGUAGUAUAGAUAGAGAAUAGUAGGGGACCAAGAACAGAACCUUGAGGAAUGCCAGAGAGGGGUUGGGGAGAAAAGGUAUAGCCAGAGAAAGAAACACUGAAAAAGCGCUGGGAGAGGUAGGAGGAGCUCCAGGAGAGAGCAGUAUCCCGUAGACCGGGAUUAUGGAGAAUAAGAAGAAGCUGUUGAUGAUCAACGGUGUCAAAAGAAGGAGAAAGAUCAAGGAGAAUUAGGAUAGAGUAAUGUCUGCAAGAUUUAGCAGCGAUUAAAUAGUUGGAUACUUUGGUCACAGCUGUUUCAACAGAGUGAUGAGCACGGAAUCCAGAGGGUCAAGCAGAGAGUUGGAUUCGAGGAAGUCUGUCAAUCUCGCAUACACAACUCUCUCAAGGUUCUUGGAGUCAAAUGGCAGUAGCGAUAUAGGGCGGUAGUUGGAUGGGUAGUUGGGGUCAAGGUUGGGCUUUUUCAGAAUUGGCGUUAGGGUUGCAUGCUUGAAGGGUGAAGGAAAUGUGCUGGAGGAAAGUGAGAGAUUGAAAAUGUUAGUGAGAGGAAGAGCAAGAGAGGGAAACAGAGUGCGUAUGAGAUAUGAGGAAAU